UAAGGAAUCUUCCACAAUGGGCGAAAGCCUGAUGGAGCAACGCCGCGUGCAGGAUGAAGGCCCUCGGGUCGUAAACUGCUUUUAUGAGUGAAGAAUAUGACGGUAACUCAUGAAUAAGGGUCGGCUAACUACGUGCCAGCAGCCGCGGUCAUACGUAGGACCCAAGCGUUAUCCGGAGUGACUGGGCGUAAAGAGUUGCGUAGGUGGCUUGUAAAGUGAAUAGUGAAAUCUGGGGGCUCAACCUCACAGGCUAUUAUUCAAACUCACAAGCUCGAGAAUGAUAGAGGUAACUGGAAUUUCUGAAGUAGGGGUAAUAUCCGUAGAUAUCAGAAGGAACACCAAUGGCGUAGGCAGGUUACUGGAUCAUUUCUGACACUGAGGCACGAAAGCGUGGGGAGCGAACC
rnacentral:rRNA from 1 species